rnacentral:rRNA from 1 species
CAGUCGCCGCGGGAAUACGAAGGGGGCUAGCGUUGUUCGGAUUUACUGGGCGUAAAGGGCGCGUAGGCGGGCGAUUAAGUCAGAGGUGAAAUCCCAAGGCUCAACCUUGGAACUGCCUUUGAUACUGGUUGUCUUGAGUCCGGGAGAGGUGAGUGGAACUGCGAGUGUAGAGGUGAAAUUCGUAGAUAUUGGGAAGAACACCAGUGGCGAAGGCGGCUCACUGGACCGACACUGACGCUGAGGCGCGAAAGCGUGGGGAGCAAACAGGAUUAGAUACCCCCGUAGUCCCUGUCUCUUAUAC